rnacentral:lncRNA from 1 species
UUCGGAGUGAAGUGAGGUAUUUACAUCCGUCUCUCUUAAAUCUGGACUGUCUAUCGCUUUUGAUCUCGACCGUUCGAUCGCAUUUAAAUAGAAAAUAAAUCUGAACCGUUCAUCACGAUUUGAUCUAGAUUGUACGAUCACGCCUGAUGAGAAAAUGGAUCUGGACCGUCCACGCGCAUGAGAACAAUUUCGGACCGUCCGAUCGCUGGCAUGCGGAUUGCUAGCGUGGCCUCCCGUAUGACAACGCGUCAGCGUGCCUUCCACGCGAUGCGCUCCAGUUCGUCGGGGCUACUGAUUAGGUGGUCCUACGUGUCAUAUUUUUUU